UACGUAGGGACCAAGCGUUGUUCGGAAUUACUGGGCGUAAAGGGCUCGUAGGCGGCCAACUAAGUCGGACGUGAAAUCCCUCGGCUUAACCGGGGAACUGCGUCCGAUACUGGAUGGCUUGAGUUCGGGAGAGGGAUGCGGAAUUCCAGGUGUAGCGGUGAAAUGCGUAGAUAUCUGGAGGAACACCGGUGGCGAAGGCGGCAUCCUGGACCGACACUGACGCUGAGGAGCGAAAGCCAGGGGAGCAAACGGG
rnacentral:rRNA from 1 species